ACAAUCAAAAUAAGUUUUGAGCAGUUACCACAUAAUGAUACAAUUAAAAGUUUUACAUGUUUUUCAAGCACCUGCAAUGUUAUAUGCUAGUAUAUAACAAUAUAUGUAAAAUACAGAAAUCUGGAAUGCAAUAAAUUAGUCUAUGUAUUUACAUAGUUGGAUUAAUUAGUUAAAAUAACUUUUACACAGAUUAAUAUGACAUAACAGGUAUCGAGUAUAAUUUUCCUGUUGUCAGCACUAAGAAAUAUUUUUUGCAAUAUUAAGUCCAACCAUGUCAUAAAAUUUAAAGGGGAAAUAAUGCCCAAGAAUUUUUAAAAGGGUCCAAUGAAAUCUAAAUUACCUACAGCCAUAGUAUUGUUUCAAUUCAGAUUAUGUAUUCAAGAUGUUGAAACUGAUCAAUAUUGAAAUUUCACAGUGUUCAAUGCAAGCUCUGAUUAGACACAACAGUAUGGCUUUAUAUGUGAUUAAACUUUAGGGCCAGUAUUCGUAAGAAUCAGUCAAUUUAGAAAACUUCCAAAACAUGGCAAAAAAAACCAAGAUGACCUAACCAUUACCCUUGCACUGUCUUAUAAUUGGUAAAUCUUUCUGGGUGUUAGCUCGACCUUCUUGGUAAUUUCUAGUAUAUUUCAAACAAAUUAUAUCUUGAAAUACCAGAACAGGAAAAGGAAAGGUUUGUUUCUAUUUGUGUACCAUUAUACAUUUUGACCUUACGAGUGGAUUAUUGUUUACAUGCUUUCACAUCGACCUGAUUCUUAGGCAGAUUGGCUUAAAAUAAGAAACACAGAUAAUACAGAAUGCAAUAAUUAUUGAACCAAUAUGACUAAAACCUAGUUAAUAAUUCACUUUGGUUUUAGUCUAAUUCUAUUUUUUCCAGAUGCUGCACAUUUUGUACUUGUUCGAUAUAAAGGUAUAAUCAUGAUAAUUUCAUAUAAUUUUUUCAUUUGGUGCUUUAUAUAUUUUAGUAACAUGGCCGUUAACUAUUCUUUUAAUAAAUAGGUAUGCCAAUAUGAAAAGCAUUAAGCAUUAAUUUUAUAUUAUUGUGAGAUCAAUGGAAAAAACGAAUGUGAAUUAAGACAGUGUCCUGAGAAACUCAAUUACAAGUCCCAACAACAUUUAGGUUAAAAUGGAUGAUACAAAACUUAUCAUUACAAAUUGUUAUCAUUAUCACAGUUCAUCUAUUUUUCAAUUCAACAUUUGAAGAUACAUAUUAAAUGUGAGUCUUUUAUAUAUUUUAAAUAAAGUUUAAAAG
rnacentral:lncRNA from 1 species